rnacentral:rRNA from 1 species
GACGAACGCUGGCGGCGUGCCUAAUACAUGCAAGUCGAGCGAAGUUUUUCUGGUGCUUGCACCGGAAAAACUUAGCGGCGAACGGGUGAGUAACACGUAAAGAACCUGCCUCAUAGACUGGGACAACUAUUGGAAACGAUAGCUAAUACCGGAUAACAGCAUUAACUGCAUGGUUGAUGUUUAAAAGUUGGUUUUGCUAACACUAUGAGAUGGCUUUGCGGUGCAUUAGCUAGUUGGUGGGGUAAAGGCCUACCAAGGCGACGAUGCAUAGCCGACCUGAGAGGGUGAUCGGCCACACUGGGACUGAGACACGGCCCAGACUCCUACGGGAGGCAGCAGUAGGGAAUCUUCCGCAAUGGGCGAAAGCCUGACGGAGCAACGCCGCGUGAGUGAAGAAGGAUUUCGGUUCGUAAAGCUCUGUUGUUAGGGAAGAAUGAUUGUGUAGUAACUAUACACAGUAGAGACGGUACCUAACCAGAAAGCCACGGCUAACUACGUGCCAGCAGCCGCGGUAAUCCGUAGGUGGCAAGCGUUGUCCGGAAUUAUUGGGCGUAAAGCGCGCGCAGGUGGUUUAAUAAGUCUGAUGUGAAAGCCCACGGCUCAACCGUGGAGGGUCAUUGGAAACUGUUAAACUUGAGUGCAGGAGAGAAAAGUGGAAUUCCUAGUGUAGCGGUGAAAUGCGUAGAGAUUAGGAGGAACACCAGUGGCGAAGGCGGCUUUUUGGCCUGUAACUGACACUGAGGCGCGAAAGCGUGGGGAGCAAACAGG